rnacentral:rRNA from 1 species
AACGAACGCUGGCGGCAGGCUUAACACAUGCAAGUCGAACGCGUGUAGCAAUACACGAGUGGCGCACGGGUGAGUAACGCGUGGAUAUCUGCCUCUUGGUUCGGAAUAACCCCGGGAAACUGGGGCUAAUACCGGAUGGUUCCUUCGGGAUAAAGAUUUAUCGCCAAAAGAUGAGUCCGCGUACGAUUAGCUAGUUGGUGAGGUAAUGGCUCACCAAGGCGACGAUCGUUAGCUGGUCUGAGAGGACGAUCAGCCACACUGGGACUGAGACACGGCCCAGACUCCUACGGGAGGCAGCAGUGGGGAAUAUUGGACAAUGGGGGCAACCCUGAUCCAGCCAUGCCGCGUGAGUGAUGAAGGCCUUCGGGUUGUAAAGCUCUUUUGGCGGGGACGAUGAUGACGGUACCCGCAGAAUAAGCCCCGGCUAACUUCGUGC